rnacentral:rRNA from 1 species
CCUACGGGAGGCAGCAGUGGGGAAUAUUGGGCAAUGGAGGAAACUCUGACCCAGCAACGCCGCGUGAAUGAUGAAGGUCUUCGGAUUGUAAAGUUCUUUUCUAAGGGAAGAAGAAAGUGACGUUACCUUAGGAAUAAGCCUCGGCUAACUACGUGCCAGCAGCCGCGGUAAUACGUAGGAGGCGAGCGUUAUCCGGAAUGCCUGGGCGUAAAGGGGGCGUAGGUGGUUUGGCAAGUUAGUAGCGUAACUCCAAGGCUCAACCUUGGAACUACUACUAAAACUGUUGGACUUGAGUACAGGAGGGGCAGCCGGAAUUCCUAGUGUAGCGGUGGAAUGCGUAGAUAUUAGGAGGAACACCAGUGGCGAAGGCGGGUUGCUAGACUGUAACUGACACUGAGGCACGAAAGCGUGGGGAGCAAACAGGAUUAGAUACCCGUGUAGUC